CGCAUCUGUGCAUGCAGCAUAUCAAUAAGCGGAGGAAAAGAAAAUAACAAGGAUUCCCUUAGUAACGGCGAGUGAAGCGGGAAGAGCUCAAAUUUGAGAUCUUCAAGGUUUUACCUUGACGAAUUGUAGUUUAAAGAAGUGUUUUCUGUUGAAGUUUUGGUAAAAGUUCUUUGGAAUAGGGCAUCAUAGAGGGUGAGAAUCCCGUAUUUGACCAUUAUUUUCAGCUGUGUGAUACACUUUCAAAGAGUCGGAUUGUUUGGGAAUGCAGUCCAAAAUGGGUGGUAAAUUUCAUCUAAAGCUAAAUAUUGGCGAGAGACCGAUAGCGAACAAGUACCGUGAGGGAAAGAUGAAAAGAACUUUGAAAAGAGAGUUAAACAGUACGUGAAAUUGUCAAAAGAGGAAGCGUUUGACACCAGUGUUGUUUUCUCGAAAAUCAAUUAAAAAGAGUUUGAUUUUGUUGUGUAUUGACCUUAACAGCUUGCAUUUCAAUUUUCUUGCUUUUUUUAAUGCACUUUUCGUUUAACAAGUCAACAUCAGUUUCUUUUGUUGUAAAAAGGUCAUUGGAAGGUGGCUUUCUUUUCGGAGAAAGUGUUUAUAGCCUUUGACUCCUGCAAUCGGAGAGACUGAGGUCUGCAGCGUAGAUCCUUCGGGGUUAGAUACAUUUGUGCUAAGUUAUAGCUUUUUAUAGACAACUUGUUGACUAUGAUUAGUCUUGUAGCUUACUCGCUUAUGCUAUUUUACCUACGCUUAGGAUGUUGAAGACUCUACAGAGAUA
rnacentral:rRNA from 1 species